GUUCACUUCCCACGUCCAGGGCCGAGUGUCUGCGCUACCCACUUUUCCUUCUUUUCAGAACAGCACCUUCUUACAAAACUGAUCGGAGCGUUGCGAAACUCAAUCAAGAAUUCAAAGUUUUGGAUCAGAAAACUCAAUACUUAAUGAAACACCCAGGGGAAGAAGUAUUAGGAUAGGAUUGGCCUGUUUUAAUCUGCUGGGUCUGAAGUAUUUUGCUCUCUAGUGUUUCUUUCUGGCAAAGAAGCCAGGCUUCAAUGGUGGUAGGAAACAUUCAUACCUUGAAGAAGCCAAUUUGUAUUACUUCAAUUUAAACAAUCUUCAGUAUGAAAGUAUCAUGAAACAUGUCAAUGCUCAGAAUUAACAGAGGACCGGGACAGAGUUCUUGCAUUUUUUUAGUGCUACAAACCACAUUGGCAGUUUGGUGAAGCCAUGAACUCUUCUCAGAAUAAUGUUUUUAAAUGUAUAAAUAAAACUUACAGUAUUA